rnacentral:rRNA from 1 species
CUUUACUGUAGCCUGGAAUUGGGUUCGGGCUUUGACUGCGCAGGAUAGGUGGGAGACCAUGAGAUUGCCCUUGUGGGGGCAAAGGAGUCAACGGUGAGAUACCACUCUGUCAAAGCUAGAAUUCUAACCUUUAGCCGUCAUCCGGCGGAGGAACAGUUUCAGGUGGGCAGUUUGACUGGGCGGUCGCCUCCUAAAGUGUAACGGAGGCGCACAAAGGUUCCCUCAGGCUGGUUGGAAAUCAGCCGCAGAGUGUAGAGGCAUAAGGGAGCUUGACUGUGAGACUGACAAGUCGAGCAGGGUGGAAACACGGUCUUAGUGAUCCGACGGCUAUGAGUGGAAGUGCCGUCGCUCAACGGAUAAAAGUUA